rnacentral:rRNA from 1 species
ACUAUUGUCACGGGUUACCGCGGCUGCUGGCACGGAGUUAGCCGGUGCUUCUUCUGCGAGUAACGUCACAGAUGUAAGGUAUUAACUUACACCCUUUCCUCCUCGCUGAAAGUGCUUUACAACCCGAAGGCCUUCUUCACACACGCGGCAUGGCUGCAUCAGGGUUUCCCCCAUUGUGCAAUAUUCCCCACUGCUGCCUCCCGUAGGAGUCUGGGCCGUGUCUCAGUCCCAGUGUGGCUGAUCAUCCUCUCAGACCAGCUAGGGGAUCGUCGCCUAGGUGAGCCUUUACCUCACCUACUAGCUAAUCCCACCUGGGCUUAUCCAUCAGCGCAAGGCCCGAAGGUCCCCCUGCUUUCCCCCGUAGGGCGUAUGCGGUAUUAGCAGUCGUUUCCAACUGUUAU